GAGGGCGCGCGUGGACGUGCUUCUCUCCGCUGUUGCUGCGCACGCGAGUGGUGCCGUGGCGGUUCCUGGGCGCGUGUCUCGUUUCUCUUCCCUUCCCGCCCUUUUCAGGGGCGCGAGGCGCUGCUGAGGAGAGCAGCAGGCGGUCGCGCUGCGCUGACUCCCGAGCCUUGCUUCGAGUGUACUUCUGCGGGGUUUCUUUCAGUAAAAUUAACAGAGAACAGACUUUUCCCUCCUGCCCCUUCGUUUUCAGCUGUCUACUUGCUGUUCCCUCGCAGCGCUCGCAGGUCAUGAAUCCAUGAGGCACCACAACAAGAGAAGAUAACCAUGAAACCCCUUAGAGAUGGAAAUGUCAUUGUUUCUAGGCCUUGUUUCUGUUGCUGUUACAAGUCAGACUGCUGCCAAGUGGUAUAUAACCUGUUGAAGAUGCAUCCUUCAGAGCAUUUCUGUACCUCCUGUACCUCUCCUGAAUGCAGGUGUAUCAAUAAAUCAACUAAAUAAAGAAGCAGCGUUUUGUCAUUGGCCCAAGCACUAGUUGUAGC
rnacentral:lncRNA from 1 species